rnacentral:rRNA from 1 species
GUACCAAAAACCGACGGCCGGUUCUGCCGGUCUCACUCUUGGUGACUCUGAAUAAAGUAGCGGAUCGCACGGCCUUGCGCCGGCGACGGACCAUUCAAGUGUCUGCCCUAUCAGCUUUCGAUGGUAAGUGACCUGCUUACCAUGGCUUUCACGGGUAACGGGGAAUCAGGGUUCGAUUCCGGAGAAGGAGCAUGAGAAACGGCUACCACUUCCGAGGAAGGCAGCAGGCGCGCAAAUUACCCAAUCCCGACACGGGGAGGUAGUGACGAAAAAUAACAAUGCCGCCCUCUGCGAGGGAGGUAAUUGGAAUGAGCACAAUUUACAAACCUUAGCGAGGAUCUAUUGGAGGGCAAGUCUGGUGCCAGCAGCCGCGGUAAUUCCAGCUCCAAUAGCGUAUAUUAAAGUUGUUGCAGUUAAAAAGCUCGUAGUUGGAUCUCAGGAGCGAGAGGCGCGGCUGGGCGCGGCCUUCGCGCAAGCGGGGUCGUCGUUCCGGCCAGCCUGAAUCGUUCCCUCCGCAGGCUCUCCGGUCGUGCUAUUAGCUUAGUGCGGCCGGCAGGUCUGCCGCUUACUUUGAAG